GUAGUCAUAUGCUUGUCUCAAAGAUUAAGCCAUGCAUGUCUAAGUAUAAGCAAUUAUACGGCGAAACUGCGAAUGGCUCAUUAAAUCAGUUAUCGUUUACUUGAUAGACCCAUACUACUUGGAUAACCGUGGUAAUUCUAGAGCUAAUACAUGCGAAAAACCGCGACUUCGGAAGCGGUGUAUUUAUUAGAUUAAAGACCAAUGCCCUUCGGGGCUGACUGGUGAUUCAUGAUAACUUCACGAAUCGCACGGCCUUGCGCCGGCGAUGGCUCAUUCAAAUUUCUGCCCUAUCAACUUUCGACUUUAGUGUAGUGGACUAAAGUGGUUGCAACGGGUAACGGAGGGUUAGGGCUCGACCCCGGAGAAGGAGCCUGAGAGACGGCUACUACAUCCAAGGAAGGCAGCAGGCGCGCAAUUACCCAAUCCCGACCCGGGGAGGUAGUGACAAUAAAUACUGAUACAGGGCUCUUUUGGGUCUUGUAAUUGGAAUGAGUACAAUUUAAAUCUCUUAACGAGGAACAAUUGGAGGGCAAGUCUGGUGCCAGCAGCCGCGGUAAUUCCAGCUCCAAUAGCGUAUAUUAAAGUUGUUGUGGUUAAAAAGCUCGUAGUUGAACCUGGGCCUCGCGCAGACCGGUCCGCCUCACCGCGUGCACUGGUCCUGCCGGGGCUUUCACUAGGGGAUUCGCAUGUCCUUCACUGGGCGUGUGCGGAACCUGGACUUUUACUGUGAAAAAAUUAGAGUGUUCAAAGCAGGCCUAUGCUCGAAUACAUUAGCAUGGAAUAAUAGAAUAGGACGUGUGGUUCUAUUUUGUUGGUUAUGGGACCGCCGUAAUGAUUAAUAGGGACAGUCGGGGGCAUCAGUAUUCAAUAGUCAGAGGUGAAAUUCUUGGAUUUAUUGAAGACUAACUACUGCGAAAGCAUUUGCCAAGGAUGUUUUCAUUAAUCAGGAACGAAAGUUAGGGGAUCGAAGACGAUCAGAUACCGUCGUAGUCUUAACCAUAAACUAUGCCGACUAGGGAUCGGGCGAUGUUAUUUUUUGACUCGCUCGGCACCUUACGAGAAAUCAAAGUCUGUGGGUUCCUGGGGGAGUAUGGUGGCAACGCUGAAACUGAAAGAAAUUGACGGAAGGGCACCACCAGGAGUGGAGCCUGCGGCUUAAUUUGACCCAACACGGGGAAACUCACUAGGUCCAGACACAAUGAGGAUUGACAGAUUGAGAGCUCUUUCUUGAUUUUGUGGGUGGUGGUGCAUGGCCGUUCUUAGUUGGUGGAGUGAUUUGUCUGCUUAAUUGC
rnacentral:rRNA from 1 species